rnacentral:rRNA from 1 species
GCUAACGGCGUGCGAGCAGGGGGGAGGAGAAGGAGGGGGCAAGCAGUAGUAGGAAUUACUGUGGUGAAAACGAGAGUAGUGGGUUGUUGAAGUCAGAGGUGAAAGCACGAGGCUCAACAUGGGAACGGCGAUGGGAACUGGGCGACUAGAGUGUGGUAGAGGGGAGCGGAAGUCCGGGUGUAGCAGUGAAAUGCGUAGAUAUCAGGAGGAAUAUCAAUGGCGAAGGCAGCUACCUGGGCCAACACUGACACUGAGGCACGAAAGCGUGGGGAGCAAACAGGAUUAGAUACCCCGGUAGUC